rnacentral:pre_miRNA from 1 species
AGUGGGAUAGCUGGAUCAAAUAGUGGGUCCAUUCCAAGUUUUCUAAGCAAUCACCAUACUGCUUUCCAGAUUGGGUACAUAAAUUUGCAAUCCCACCAGCAAU